GCUGCCCGCAUGUGUCGCUGACGUUGUCAGCACCAUGCCAGCAGCAAGGAUCCUCCGGCUGCGCAGGGAAUCCCCGCCCUGAGAUCCACCAGUCCGCCAUCGCAUCGGUUCCGCGGACGAACGCCAUCCAGGCGUCGAU
rnacentral:ncRNA from 1 species